rnacentral:rRNA from 1 species
CCUACGGGAGGCAGCAGUGGGGAAUAUUGCACAAUGGGGGAAACCCUGAUGCAGCGACGCCGCGUGAGUGAAGAAGUAAUUCGUUAUGUAAAGCUCUAUCAGCAGGGAAGAAAAUGACGGUACCUGAGUAAGAAGCCCCGGCUAACUACGUGCCAGCAGCCGCGGUAAUACGUAGGGGGCAAGCGUUAUCCGGAUUUACUGGGUGUAAAGGGAGCGUAGACGGCAGUGCAAGUCUGGAGUGAAAGGCUGGGGCUCAACCCACGGACUGCUCUGGAAACUGUACGGCUGGAGUGCAGGAGAGGUAAGUGGAAUGCGUAGUGUAGCGGUGAAAUGCGUAGAUAUUAGGAGGAACACCAGUGGCGAAGGCGGCUUACUGGACUGUAACUGACGUUGAGGCUCGAAAGCGUGGGGAGCAAACAGGAUUAGAUACCCCGGUAGUC